rnacentral:rRNA from 1 species
CCUACGGGAGGCAGCAGUGAGGAAUAUUGGUCAAUGGCCGGAAGGCUGAACCAGCCAAGCCGCGUGAAGGACGAAGGUGCCAAGCAUUGUAAACUUCUUUUGUAAAGGGACAAAAUCAGGCUCGAGAGCCUGACCGAGGGUACUUGAAGAAAAAGCAUCGGCUAACUCCGUGGCAGCAGCCGCGGUAAUACGGAGGAUGCGAGCGUUAUCCGGAUUUAUUGGGUUUAAAGGGUGCGUGGGCGGGAUGUUAAGUCAGCGGUAAAAGCCCGGCGCACAACCCCGGCGAGCCGGUGAAACUGGCAGUCUUGAGAUGGCUAGGGGUAUGCGGAAUGCGCAGUGUAGCGGUGAAAUGCUUAGAUAUUGCGCAGAACUCCGAUUGCGAAGGCAGCAUACCGGCAGCGAUCUGACGCUGAGGCACGAAAGCGUAGGUAUCGAACAGGAUUAGAUACCCCUGUAGUC